GAUUAACGCUGGCGGCGUGCAUAACACAUGCAAGUCGAACGAUGAAACUUAAAUGAUUUCUUCGGCAUGAAUUUAAGUGGAUUAGUGGCGGACGGGUUAGUAACGCGUGAGUAACCUGACUUACACAAGGGGAUAGCCGUUGGAAAGGACGAAUAAUACUCUAUGAAACUAUCACUUCGCAUGAUGCGAUAGUCAAAGUGGUAGCGGUGUAAGAUGGACUUGCGUCUGAUUAGCUAGUUGGUGAGAAAAAAGCCGACCAAGGCAACGAUCAGUAGCAGGCUGGAGAGAGGGUACGGCGGCAUUGAGACUGAGACACGACCCAUACGCCUGCGAGAGGCAGCAGUGAGGAAAUUUGCACAAUAGGCGAAAUCCAGAUGCAGCGAGGCCGCGUGAUUGAGAAGGCCUUCGGGUUGUAAAAAUCUUUUGUAUGAGAAGAAAAUGACAGUACUAUACGAAUAAGGUCCGGCUAAUUACGUG
rnacentral:rRNA from 1 species